GCGGUUGUAGCUCAGCGGAAGAGCGCCACCUUGCCAUGGUGGAGGCCGCCGGUUCGAUCCCGGCCUGCCGCUC
rnacentral:tRNA from 1 species